AACGAACGCCGGCGGCAUGCCUAACACAUGCAAGUCGAACGAGAUCUUCGGGUCUAGUGGCGCACGGGUGCGUAACGCGUGGGAAUCUGCCCUUUGGUUCGGAAUAACAGUUGGAAACGACUGCUAAUACCGGAUGAUGACGAAAGUCCAAAGAUUUAUCGCCAGAGGAUGAGCCCGCGUAGGAUUAGCUAGUUGGCGUGGUAAAGGCGCACCAAGGCGACGAUCCUUAGCUGGUCUGAGAGGAUGAUCAGCCACACUGGGACUGAGACACGGCCCAGACUCCUACGGGAGGCAGCAGUGGGGAAUAUUGGACAAUGGGCGAAAGCCUGAUCCAGCAAUGCCGCGUGAGUGAUGAAGGCCUUAGGGUUGUAAAGCUCUUUUACCCGGGAUGAUAAUGACAGUACCGGGAGAAUAAGCUCCGGCUAACUCCGUGCCAGCCGCCGCCGUAAUAC
rnacentral:rRNA from 1 species